UUUAUCAGAAAUUCUACAUGAAAGGAAUCUCUGCCACCAUCUAGAAUCUGGGCAUGAGCAGAUUCUUGGAAAUCCAAUUGCCGGACAGUACAAACAUAUCUUUGAGAGUAUCUAUGACACAGGAACUAAGAUCUGCUCACAGGGUUUGUAUUCAGGUAAAUCCAAAUACAAAUGUGCAAGCGAUUAAAAUCACUGUCUCUUGGACCUGUCACAUAACACAUGUAAUAAAUCCAUGAGACCUGGAGUUGUGCAAGCAGCAUAGGAUGCCCUAGGGAUUGUGAUACUGGAAGAUAACUUUUUCUUGGCCUCAUUUCUUUAUCCCAAUUUCAUAUCAGUUGUUUUAGUCCAUUUGCCAUUGGUAUAAUGAAAUACCUGAGAUUGGGUAAUUUAUAAAGAAAAGAGAUAUAUUGAGAUCACAGUUUUGUAGUCUGAAAGUCCAACAUUAAGCAACUCUGUUUGGCUUCAGGUGAGGGCCUCAUGGCAGGUGGCAUUGCAAUAGUGGAACUGUGUGUGGAAAGGAUCAGUGUAAGAUAGGAAACCAAAGAGAUUCAGGGACCAGACUUUUUUUUUUUUUUUUAAUAAUAAUCCACUCUAAUUGGAGCCUUAGAGAACUAAUCUCAUGCAAGGGUGAUACCUCUAAUGACUUAAUUAACGCUUGCUAGGCCUCAUCUCUUUAAAAGUUUCACCAACUCUCAAUAUGGCCACAUAGGGACCAAGCUUCAAACACAGACUUUGGGGGACACAUUCAAACAAUAUCCAAAUGGUAGCUCUAUAUGUGGGACUAGAGUGAGAAUCCCUGCCUUGGGAGAACAGCCCUGGAUGGACCUCGAC
rnacentral:lncRNA from 1 species